rnacentral:rRNA from 1 species
AUACGGAGGAUCCGAGCGUUAUUCGGAUUUAUUGGGUUUAAAGGGUGCGCAGGCGGCCAUUUAAGUCAGCGGUUAAAUCGUGGGGCUCAACCCCAUUCUGCCGUUGAUACUGGGUGGCUUGAUUGCGGUCGAGGUUGGCGGAAUUCGUUGUGUUGGGGGUGAAUGCAUAGAUAUGACGAAGAACACCGAUUGCGUAGGCAGCUGACCAGACCGCAAAUGACGCUCAUGCACGAAAGUGCGGGGAUCGAACAGGAUUAGAUACCCUGGUAGUCCGCACAGUAAACGAUGAAUACUUGUUUUCGGCGAUAUAAUGUCGGAGGCAAAGCGAAAGCGAUAAGUAUUCCACCUGGGGAGUACGCCGGCAACGGUGAAACUCAAAUGAAUUGACGGGG